GUGCUGUCUUUGGUAGCACAUAUAUUAACAUUGGAACAACACAGAGAUUAGCAUGGCCUCUGUGUAAGGAUGGUACACAAAUUGUGAAGCAUUCCCUGUUUUA
ensembl:snRNA U6 U6 spliceosomal RNA